AUGCAUAUCACGAAGAACGUGUGCGAGAGUCUGCUUGGUACCCUGCUCAACAUGCCAGAGAGGACCAAAGAUGGGCCGAAAGCAAGGGCAGACUUGAAAUCAAUGGGCAUCAGGCAGGAGCUUCACGCUAUAUAUGAUGAUGAUGAUGAUGAUGAUGAUGAUGAUGAUGAUGAUGAUGAUGAUGAUGAUGAUGAGGCAAAGCAGGACACGGAAAGUCGUCGCAAAGGCAAAAAGGCCAAGAAGACCGGAAAUGACUACCCUCCCGCGUGCUUCACUCUAAAUCAGGAGGAGAUCGAACAGUUUUUCACCUGCCUCGUAGGAGUAAAACUUCCUUACGGUUACGCGGGGAAGAUAAGCAGAUACCUAGACCCAGCGAAGCUAAAGUUCAGCGGGAUGAAGUCUCACGACUGUCAUGUGCUGAUGACGCAGAAACUUCCAGUUGCAAUCCGUGGGAUCAUGGACGCGCACGUCCGUGAAACCCUAUUUGGCCUAUGCAACUUUUUCGACGUCAUCUCUCGGAAGUCUGUUGGCGUGAGGCAACUCAGAAGGCUACAAGAGAUCAUGGUGAUACUAUGCGAGCUUGAGAUGUACUUCCCGCCCGCAUUCUUCGAUGUUAUGGUGCAUCUGCUGGUCCAUAUCGUGGACGAUAUCAUCCAACUUGGGCCGACGUUCCUGCACAGCAUGAUGCCAUUCGAAAGGAUGAAUGGUGUCAUCAAAGGAUACGUUCGCAACAUGUCACGUCCAGAGGGAAGCAUAGCCAGGGGCUCUCUGACCGAAGAGUGCAUCUCCUACUGCACGAAUUAUUUAGGGGUAUGUGUAGCAGUUAGCAAAAACACAGGACUAAAGUGCUCUGUUUUGGCAAACCAGUGCAUGCAUGCCGUUUUUCUUCUUUAUUUUUUUUCACUGACGACGAAUGCUGGCAACUCGACAGCAGCUAGCUAG
rnacentral:rRNA from 1 species